AUUGAACGCUGGCGGCAGGCCUAACACAUGCAAGUCGAGCGGAGCGGCGGGCGGGUGAGUAAUACCUAGGAAUCUGCCUGGUAGUGGGGGAUAACGUUCGGCAACGGACGCUAAUACCGCCUACUAUCCGCUGCGCCUAGGUCGGAUUAGCUAGUUGGUGGGGUAAUGGCUGACCAAGGCUACGAUCCGUAACUGGUCUGAGAGGAUGAUCAGUCACACUGGAACUGAGACACGGUCCAGACGCCUACGGGAGGCAGCAGUGGGGAAUAUUGGACAAUGGGCGAAAGCCUGAUCCAGCCAUGCCGCGUGUGUGAAGAAGGGCUUCGGAUUGUAAAGCACUUUAAGUUGGGAGGCGUUACCGACAGAAUAAGCACCGGCUAACUCUGUGCCAGCAGCCGCGGUAAUAC
rnacentral:rRNA from 1 species